GAUGAACGCUGGCGGCGUGCCUAAUACAUGCAAGUCGAGCGAAUGGAUUAAGAGCUUGCUCUUAUGAAGUUAGCGGCGGACGGGUGAGUAACACGUGGGUAACCUGCCCAUAAGACUGGGAUAACUCCGGGAAACCGGGGCUAAUACCGGAUAACAUUUUGAACCGCAUGGUUCGAAAUUGAAAGGCGGCUUCGGCUGUCACUUAUGGAUGGACCCGCGUCGCAUUAGCUAGUUGGGGAGGUAACGGCUCACCAAGGCAAGGAUGCGUAGCCGACCUGAUGGGGUGAUCGGCCACAUGGGGAAUGGGACACGGGCCAGAGUCCUACGGGAGGCAGCAGUAGGGAAUCUUCCGCAAUGGACGAAAGUCUGACGGAGGAACGCCGCGUGAGUGAUGAAGGCUUUCGGGUCGUAAAACUCUGUUGUUAGGGAAGAACAAGUGCUAGUUGAAUAAGCUGGCACCUUGACGGUACCUAACCAGAAAGCCACGGCUAACUACGUGCCAGCCGCCGCGGUAA
rnacentral:rRNA from 1 species